GGUGCCAAAUAAGAAACUAGCCCUCUACAUCACGUCCAGUCACAACCACAUGGGUCCCACGCCCACCACCGUCUAAUAAAAAGAAUCAAUCUGCUCCCAGGCAGCACCUCUCUAAACCUCUCGCUACCUUCCCCGUCCCUACUGGCGGCAGCCUAGGGCUUUCCCUAAGCUUCUCCAUCCCAAGAUCAAGAUGCCUCCGGGAAAGAAGGGGUCACGAUGCAUACUAAAUCCCCAGCGACAAGAAAAAUAUAAAGAUACCCAACCAAGUGCAAUAAAUCUUUUCAAGGAGAUGUAUUGCGGCAAGAAGAAAUGAUUUAGUAAAAUUGUUCAGAAAGCUAUUGAUGAUAUGGAAGCAAUGGUGGCAGCAUCAGUUGAAGUUAGACAACUUGUGAUGUCUUCUACCCAAGUUGUUUCUCAUGUCUUGCCCAGCUCAAGUAAAUUCCUUCACAAUGUUGGCCUUCAGCCUGCCUCCAAGACAAGCUCUAUUUCAGCAAAGGUGCACGAGCUUCAAUCUCAAUUGGAGACCAAGAGACAAGAAAAAGAUGGACUUAGGCAAGAAAUGGAAUCCUUAAAGGCUACAUCACAAGAAUUUAUGACCACUAUUGCUAAUCAAACAAUUGAGAUCGAGAAUUUAAAGAAGUCGCUAGCAGAAAAUAAUAGCCUUCUUCGUCAGAUACUAAGCACCAAUCGAGGCAUGUCUCCUCCUUAAGAUUGUUGCUAUAGUCGACCAUGCCAAUGUUACAUCCAACAACACUGGACUACUUUUUUAUUAGUUGUCUAUUUAGUCUGAUCAUAUUGAUACUAUAGUAGCUGUGUGCAGCUUGUGGCGGUUGAACAUGUCCUACUUUUGCAUUUAAGUUAUAGAAAAGUUGUGUGUGUUCAUGUUGUUUGAUGAAAUUGUAUGCACGGUUUGGAUUGAAUUCAAUUAUAUACUGAUUUUAUUAA